UUGGCAUUAUUAUUUAGCCUCUGCACUGCCAGAAGUAUAAAACCCAGAGAAGGGAGAGUCUCCAGCUGCAGCAAUGCUUGAAUGGGAACUGUUUCUGUAAGGCAAGAAGGCUGCUUGGAGUUAUCACCAUCUAGAGACUGGUUUUAUGAGCUCAUCAAUAAGAUGAGGCAUUUCUCUAGGUAAAUGAAGGCUCAGUGAACAGUUACUGUGAUCUGGAAUCUCUGAGAAACACACAGUUUCCUCUUGUGCCAAUGUUUCUGAGUCCUGCUUCAGAUCAUAGAGCUGGAGGAGAAAGAAGAAAAGAGGCAGCUUUUACAACUGCAGUCACUGCAACUAAUUGUUCCUACUAGAGCUGACAGUUUUCUGAGAUGAAAAGGAAGAGAAUGGAAUUAAUCACACAAACUUCAUCAUCCAGUCUGGCAUAACUGAAAGUAUAAUUUUAGGUGUUUCUG